rnacentral:rRNA from 1 species
UACGUAGGUGACCAGCGUUGUCCGGAUUUACUGGGCGUAAAGGGCGCGUAGGCGGUGUGUCAAGUCAGGCGUGAAAGCCCCGGGCUCAACCUGGGAACAGCGCUUGAGACUGGCACGCUCGAGUUCGGGAGAGGAUGGUGGAAUUCCCAGUGUAGAGGUGAAAUUCGUAGAUAUUGGGAAGAACACCGAUGGCGAAGGCAGCCAUCUGGACCGACACUGACGCUGAGGCGCGAAAGCGUGGGGAGCAAACAGG